rnacentral:rRNA from 1 species
ACGAACGCUGGCGGCGUGCUUAACACAUGCAAGUCGAACGGAAAGGCCCUGCUUUUGUGGGGUGCUCGGGUGGCGAACGGGUGAGUAACACGUGAGUAACCUGCCCUUGACUUUGGGAUAACUUCAGGAAACUGGGGCUAAUACCGGAUAGGAGCUCCUGCUGCAUGGUGGGGGUUGGAAAGUUUCGGCGGUUGGGGAUGGACUCGCGGCUUAUCAGCUUGUUGGUGGGGUAGUGGCUUACCAAGGCUUUGCCGGGUAGCCGGCCUGAGAGGGUGACCGGCCACAUUGCGACUGAGAUACGGCCCAGACUCCUACGGGAGGCAGCAGUGGGGAGUAUUGCACAAUGGGCGGGAGCCUGAUGCAGCAACGCCGCGUGCGUGAUGACGGCCUUCGGGUUGUAAACCGCUUUCGCCGGUGACGAAGCGUGAGUGACGGUAAUGGGUAAAGAAGCACCGGCUAACUACGUG